UGGUCAAGCCGCACGGCUGAUUAGUAUCGGUUAGCUCCACACAUCGCUGUGCGUCCACACCCGACCUAUCACCUGGUCAUCUUCCAGGAGCCUUUAGAGGCCUUGCGGCCUGGGAAAUCUCAUCUUGUGGAGGGUUUCACGCUUAGAUGCAUUCAGCGUUUCUCCCGUCCGCACGUAGCUACCGAGCGCUGCCGUUGGCACGACAACUCGUACACUAGAGGUGCGUCCAUCCCGGUCCUCUCGUACUAAGGACAGCCCCACUCAAAUUUCCUCCGCCCAUGACAGAUAGAGACCGAACUGUCUCGCGACGUUCUAAACCCAGCUCACGUACCGCUUUAACCGGCGAACAGCCGGACCCUUGGAACCUGCUACAGCUCCAGGAUGCGAUGAGCCGACAUCGAGGUGCCAAACCUGAGCGUCGAUGUGAACUCUUGGCUCAGAUCAGCCUGUUAUCCCCGGCGUACCUUUUAUCCGUUGAGCGAUGGCCCUUCCACGCGGAACCACCGGAUCACUAAAGCCUGGUUUCCCACCUGCUCGUCUUGUAGGACUCGCAGUCAAGCUCGCUUCUGCUUUUGCACUCUCCGGCUGAUUUCCAAACAGCCUGAGCGAACCUUCGCGCGCCUCCGUUACAGUUUAGGAGGCGACCGCCCCAGUCAAACUACCCACCUAGCAGUGUCCCUGACCUGGAUGACAGGUCGAGGUUAGAACGCCGGAGUGUUAAGGGUGGUAUCUCACCGUUGGCUCCCCCGAGUCCGAGAACCCGAGAUCACAGCCUCCCACCUAUCCUGCGCAUAACACGCCAGCAUUCACUACUAAGAUGUAGUAAAGGUGCACGGGGUCUUUUCGUCUAGUCACGGGCAACCGGCGUCUUCACCGGUACCACAAAUUCGCAGUGCUCCUCGUUGAGACAGCGCCCAGAUCGUUACGCCAUUCGUGCAGGUCGGAACUUACCCGACAAGGAAUUUCGCUACCUUAGGACCGUUAUAGUUACGGCCGCCGUUUACCGGGGCUUCAGCUCGAAGCGUCGCCUUGCGGCUAACCUCUCCCUUUAACCUUCCGGCACCGGGCAGGCGUCAGACCCUAUACGUCGUGUUCGACUUCGCAGAGUCCUGUGUUUUUAGUAAACAGUCGCCUGGGCCUCUUUAUUGCAACUCGUUCACGCACGUCAUCGCGAGGACGACGCACCCUAAUCGAGCACCCCUUAUUCCGAAGUUACGGGGCUAGUUUGCCGAGUUCCUAAACGAGGAUUCUCACUCGCGCCUGAGGAUUUUCUCCUCACCUACCUGUGUCGGUUUGCGGUACGGGUACCCACUCCACUCCUUAGAGGCUUUUCUCGGCAGCGUGGCGUCAGCAGCUUUGCGGGUGAAACACCCUCGCGAUGGUCCCUCAGGGUAUGUGAAUCACCGGAUUUACCUGGCGACUCCCCCUACAGACCUCAACCCACACGUCCAAUCGUGGGCCUGCCUAGCCUCCUGCGUCCCCCCAUCGUAAUAACGUGGAAUAGGUAGUUCCGGAAUAUUGACCGGAUAUCCAUCCGCUACGCCUUUCGGCCUCGCGUUAGGACCCGACUGACCCUGAGCGGACGAACCUUCCUCAGGAAACCUUAGGUUUACGGCGGGGAAGAUUCUCACUUCCCUUCUCGCUACUUAUGCCGGCAGGGUCACUUCUCAACACUCCACCAGUCCUCACGGUCUGACUUCGCUGCGUUGAGAACGCUCCUCUACCAAAACACCGCCCCGCAGGGCAGUGCAGUCUACGGCUUCGGUCCUGUGCUUGAGCCCCGUUAUAUUGUCGGCCCAGAGCCGCUUGACCAGUGAGCUAUUACGCUUUCUUUAAAGGAUGGCUGCUUCUAAGCCAACCUCCUGGUUGUCUAAGCGUCUCCAGAUCCUUUACCACUUAGCACAGAGUUAGGGACCUUAGCCGGUAGUCUGGGCUGUUUCCCUCUCGACAAUGAAGCUUAGCCCCCACUGUCUGACUCCCGAGAUACGUGUCGUUGGCAUUCGCAGUUUGAUUGGAUUCAGUAAGCUGGUAAGCCCCCUAGUCCAUUCAGUUCUCUACCACCAACGCCGACCUCUCGAGGCUAUCCCUAAAGAUAUUUCGAGGAGAACGGGCAAUCACGAGGUUUGAUUAGCCUUUCACCCCUACCCUCAGCUCAUCCAAGCUGUUUUCAACCAACACUGGUUCGGGCCUCCAUACGGUGUUACCCGUACUUCACCCUGGCCAAGGGUAGAUCACCUCGCUUCGCGUCUAAUCCCAGCGACUCGUCGCCCAUUUCGGACUCGCUUUCGCUUCGGCUCGCUUUCGCUUAACCUUGCCACUGAGAUUAACUAGCCGGCUCAUUAUGCAAAAGGCACGCGGUCAGGCAUUCCCGAGUCGAAACUCAGGCAUAGCCCUCCCACUGCUUGUAGGCAUACGGUUUCAGGUACUCUUUCACUCCCCUCGCAGGGGUUCUUUUCACCUUUCCCUCACGGUACUGGUUCACUAUCGGUCGCCAGGGAGUAUUUAGCCUUACCAGAUGGUCCUGGUCGAUUCCCACGGGAUUUCUCGUGUCCCGCGGUACUCAGGUGCCUGUCCAACGAGCCAGCAUGUUGUCGCCUACGGGGCUGUCACCCUCUGUGGCCGAUCGUUCCAGAUCGUUCGACUAACAAGCUGGUUGGUAACUCGUCGACCUUACGGUCCAACAGGUCCUACAACCCCACCGUGCAUGCACGCUGGUUUGGGCUAUGUCCGCGUUCGCUCGCCGCUACUAGCGGAAUCACUAUUGUUUUCUGUUCCUCCGGGUACUGAGAUGGUUCACUUCCCCGGGUUGUCUUCGUCACCCUAUGAAUUCAGAUGACGAUACUCAGGUAUGAGCCUGAGCGGGUUGCCCCAUUCGGAAAUCCUCGGGUCAAAGCCUGUUUGCGGCUCACCGAAGCUUAUCGCAGCUGACCACGUCCUUCAUCGACUCCUGGCGCCAAGGCAUUCACCGUACGCCCUUAGUAGCUUGACC
rnacentral:rRNA from 1 species